CCUACGGGUGGCAGCAGUGGGGAAUAUUGGGCAAUGGGCGCAAGCCUGACCCAGCAACGCCGCGUGAAGGAAGAAGGCCCUCGGGUUGUAAACUCCCUUUAAGAGGGAAGAGCAGAAGACGGUACCUCUUGAUUAAGCCAUGGCUAACUACGUGCCAGCAGCCGCGGCAAUACGUAGGGGGCAAGCGUUAUCCGGAUUUACUGGGUGUAAAGGGGGCGCAGACGGGAGCGCAAGCCAGGAGUGAAAGCCCGGGGCCCAACCCCGGGACAGCUCUUGAAACUGCGCGGCUGGAGUGAAGGAGGAGCAGGCGGAAUGCGUGGUGUAGCGGUGAAAUGCGUAGAUAUCA
rnacentral:rRNA from 1 species